rnacentral:rRNA from 1 species
GGAUCGAAGUCUGCAACCCGACUUCGUGAAGUUGGAUUCGCUAGUAAUCGCGCAUCAGCCAUGGCGCGGUGAAUACGUUCCCGGGCCUUGUACACACCGCCCCGUCAAGCCAUGGGGAGCCGGGGGGCGCCUGAAGCCGGGACCGCGAGGACCGGCCUAGGGCGAAACUGGUAACUGGGGCUAAGUCGUAACAAGGUAGC